UCGUUGUUGGCGAUCCCAACUGUUAGUUGACCAAUGUAAUCAUAGUAAAUGUACGUGUGACUUACUAACUUAACUAUUAACUUAUAAUUUUUUUAUAUACUAGUUGAAGCGGUUCACAAAUUUUAUCUAAUGAUACCUUUAUGUUAAUAAUUCAUAAAAUAUAGCUACACCAUUGGCUAAUAUUAUAUUUCAUCGGAUGUUAUAACUAAUUAAUGGUAUCUGCUUACUUCGACGCUGAAUAAAGACUGAAAAAUACGUCACAGUUAUGAUCAGUGCGAGAUUAAUAUCGUUGAUUAUUUGAAUAACAUCGAGUGCUGUUAAAGAUAAAGAGCUGGUCUACCUGGUCAUUAAGACAAUGCGUUGUAUAAUAUACGUUUAAUACUUUAAUGUACUGCGUUUUACUAUAGACUUUGUUUAAUAAUUAUCAGUGGUGCCGAAUUAUCAAGAAUAAGUAUACUCAAGGACUAUAUUUUAAAAUGCUUAGAUUUUUUUAUAAUCAACUUCUUUUUUCAAACGAGAAUCACUCUUUCCGGGAGUGACGGUGCUCAUGGAAUUUUCCAUACUGUUAACACUACUACGAUUUACUCUGUGAGUACCGUUGAAUAUAAAUAAAUAAACUACAUUCUAAUUUCAUCAUCAAGCAGCUUUAAAUCUGUUCUUCUUGUACUUACAAGUUUAAUUGUAUACAAUUUAUAAAUCGAUAUAAUGUUGUGCCACACAUUUAGUGUAAAUUACAAUUAUAAUUUUGUACGCUGUAAUUUAAACGAUCCUCGACAACUAUAAUUAUUGCAUAAUUUAUUACAAUUGUCUUGCUGGUGCGUUAUGGUAGUUUUCUUUUGUUUCAUCUAUCUAAUUGUGGUUUGAAUAAUCCACUUAAAUAUUUAAAAGUGAACAUGUUAAUUAUAUUGAAAGGAUUGUAACUAUUGUUUUUAAGUAUGGAAUUAUUUUUCUCACUCUACUUCACAGCUCAUGAAAAGUAGUUCAAUAGUUAUACAAUGUCCAU